rnacentral:rRNA from 1 species
AUUGAACGCUGGCGGCAGGCCUAACACAUGCAAGUCGAACGAGUGGCGGACGGGUGAGUAAUGUCUGGGAAACUGCCCGCUGGAGGGGGAUAACUACUGGAAACGGUAGCUAAUACCGCAUACCAUCGGAUGUGCCCAGAUGGGAUUGGCUAGUAGGUGGGGUAAAGGCUCACCUAGGCGACGAUCCCUAGCUGGUCUGAGAGGAUGACCAGCCACACUGGAACUGAGACACGGUCCAGACUCCUACGGGAGGCAGCAGUGGGGAAUAUUGCACAAUGGGCGCAAGCCGGAUGCAGCCAUGCCGCGUGUAUGAAGAAGGCCUUCGGGUUGUAAAGUACUUUCAGCGGGGAGGCGUUACCCGCAGAAGAAGCACCGGCUAACUCCGUGCCAGCAGCCGCGGUAAUAC